GUGGGCUGAGUCCGAAAAGAGAGUCAGCGAAGGGAGAUAGGGGUGGGGCCGUUUUAUAGGAUUUGGGAAGGUAAUGGAAAAUUAGUCAAAGGGGGUUGUUCUCUGGUGGGCAGGGGUGGGGGGUCACAAGGUGCUCAGUGGGGGAGCUUCUGAGCCAGGAGAAGGAAAUUCGCAGGGUUAAUCACUCAGUUAAGGUGGGGCAGGAACAAAUCACAAUAGUGGAAUGUCAUCAGUUAAGGCGGGGCAGGGCCUUUUCACUUCUUUUGUGAUUCUUCAGUUACUUCAGGCCAUCUGGGCGUAUACGUGCAAGUCACAGGGGAUGCGAUGGCUUGGCUUGGGCUCAGAGGCCUGACAUUCCUGCCUUCUUAUAUUAAUAAGAAAAAUAAAACAAAAUAGUGUUGAAGUGUUGAGGCGGCAAAAAUUUUUGGGGGUGUUAUGGAGAGAGAAUGGGUGAUGUUUCUCAGAGCUGCUUCAAGUGGGAUUAGGGGCGGCGUGGGAACCUAGAGUGGGAGAGAUUAAGCUGAAGGGAGGUCUUGUGGUAAGGGGUGAUAUUGUGGGGAUGUAAGAAGAAACAUUUGUCAUAUAGAAUGAUUGGUGAUGGCCUGGAUACGGUUUUGUAUGAAUUGAAAAACUAAAUGGAAUAUGAGAAGGCGAAAAACAGGUAUAAAAGGACUAAGAAUUGGGAGGACCUAGGCCAUCUAAUUAGAGAGUGCCUAAGGAGAUUCAGCAUAGUCCUGCCGGCAAAGAUUAUUUAUUUACUUCAAGAGUUUAGAGUGGCAGUUUGGGGAUAGCACUAGGAGAUAUCACCUGUGAUGUCUUGGAGAAAGAGUGUAAACCGGCAGUGUAAACAAGAGCAGGGCAUGUGUGAGUAGUUGAGAACAGUGAAUAGGAGUAUGACUAACAGAUGAGGAUGAAAUUUGGGCUUGACUGAAGUAAUGGGGGCUGUCUGUGAAGCCUUGCAGCAGUACAGCCCAGGUAAUUUGCUGAGCCUAAUGGGUGUCAGGGUCAGUCUAAGUGAAGGCAAAGAGAGGCUGGGAUGAAGGGUGCAAGGAAUAGUAAAGAAAGCAUGUUUGAGAUCCAGAACAGAAUAAUGGGUAGUAGAGGGAGGUAUUGAGGAUAGGAGAGUCUAUGGGUUUGGCACCACGGGGUGGAUAGGCAAAACAAUUUGGUUGAUAAGGCGCAGAUUCUGAACUAACUUGUAAGGCUUGUCUGGUUUUAGGACAGGUAAAAUGGGGGAAUGGUAAGGAGAGUUUAUAAGCUUUAAAAGGCCACGCUGUAGCAGGCGAGUGAUAACAGGUUUUAAUCUUUUUAAAGCGUGCUGUGGGAUGGGAUAUUGGCGUUGAGCGGGGUAAGGGUGAUUAGGUUUUAAUGGGAUGGUAAGGGGCAUGUGAUCGGUUGCCAGGGAAGGAGUAGAGAUGUCCCAUACUUGCGGGUUAAGGUGGGGGGAUAUGAGAGGAAGACGCGAAGGAGGCUUUGGGUUGGGGAGAAGGGCGGCAAUGAGAUGUGGCUGUAGUCCAGGAAUAGUCAGGGAAGCAGAUAACUUAGUUAAAGUGUCUCAGCCUAAUAAGGGAACUGGGCAGGUGGGGAUAACGAAAAAGGAGUGCUUAAAAGAGUAUUGUCUAAGUUGGCACCAGAGUUGGGGAGUUUUAAGAGGUUUAGAAGCCUGGCUGUUAAUACCCACAACAGUUAUGGAGGCAAGGGAAACAGGCCCUUGAAAAGAAGGUAAUGUGGAGUGGGUAGCCUCCGUAUUGAUUAAGAAGGGGACGGGCUUACCUUCCACUGUGAGAGUUACCCGAAGCUCGGCGUCCAUGAUGGUCUAGGGGGCUUCCGAGGCGAUCGGGCAGUGUCAGUCUUCAGCCGCUAAGCCAAGAAGAUCUGGGAAGGAGUCAGAGAGCCUUGGGCCAGAGUUCCAGGGUCUCUGAGAGUGGCUGCCAGGUGAGUUGAACAGUCCGAUUUUCAGUGGGGUCCCGCACAGAUGGGACACGGCUUAGGAGGAAUCCGGGGCUGCAGGCAUUCCUUGGCCUAGUGGCCAGAUUUCCGGCACAUGUAGCAAGCUCCUGUGGGAGGAGGUUCUGGAGGAACGCCUGGCUGCUGUGGUUCAGGCAUUUGGAAGUUCUUGUGUGCUGGAGAUGUGGCUGGGGUUUGUCUCACAGCGGAGGCAAGGAAUUGCAACUUUUUUUUUUUAUUAUUCUACACCUUGAAGGCGCUGCGGAACUCAGCCCGCGGACGAUUCCCGGGAGGAAGGGCCUUAUUUCGAUCUGUGAGUGAGAGCAACGCGGCAUGACAGUGUCUGCUCGACGUGCAGGGAAAUCUUACCCGAGCCACUUUGGCAGGGCCCAGGCCUCGGUGCGGCGGUGCUGAAGCAGAAGUCUCCGCUUUAAGUGUGAAACUCGGAGGGCAGAGCAGAG
rnacentral:lncRNA from 1 species